rnacentral:tRNA from 1 species
GUCCCCUUCGUCUAGCGGUCAGGACGUCGCCCUCUCACGGCGAAAACAGGGGUUCGAUUCCCCUAGGGGACGCCA